GUGGGAAACGAUGUGGGAAGGCCCAGACAGCCAGGAUGUUGGCUUAGAAGCAGCCAUCAUUUAAAGAAAGCGUAAUAGCUCACUGGUCGAGUCGGCCUGCGCGGAAGAUGUAACGGGGCUAAACCAUGCACCGAAGCUGCGGCAGCGACACUCAGGUGUUGUUGGGUAGGGGAGCGUUCUGUAAGCCUGCGAAGGUGGCCUGUGAGGGUUGCUGGAGGUAUCAGAAGUGCGAAUGCUGACAUAAGUAACGAUAAAGCGGGUGAAAAGCCCGCUCGCCGGAAGACCAAGGGUUCCUGUCCAACGUUAAUCGGGGCAGGGUGAGUCGACCCCUAAGGCGAGGCCGAAAGGCGUAGUCGAUGGGAAACGGGUUAAUAUUCCCGUACUUGGUGUUACUGCGAAGGGGGGACGGAGAAGGCUAUGUUGGCCGGGCGACGGUUGUCCCGGUUUAAGCGUGUAGGCUGGUUUUCCAGGCAAAUCCGGAAAAUCAAGGCUGAGGCGUGACGACGAGGCACUACGGUGCUGAAGCAACAAAUGCCCUGCUUCCAGGAAAAGCCUCUAAGCAUCAGGUAACACGAAAUCGUACCCCAAACCGACACAGGUGGUCAGGUAGAGAAUACCAAGGCGCUUGAGAGAACUCGGGUGAAGGAACUAGGCAAAAUGGUGCCGUAACUUCGGGAGAAGGCACGCUGACAUGUAGGUGAAGUGAUUUACUCAUGGAGCUGAAGUCAGUCGAAGAUACCAGCUGGCUGCAACUGUUUAUUAAAAACACAGCACUGUGCAAACACGAAAGUGGACGUAUACGGUGUGACGCCUGCCCGGUGCCGGAAGGUUAAUUGAUGGGGUCAGCGCAAGCGAAGCUCCUGAUCGAAGCCCCGGUAAACGGCGGCCGUAACUAUAACGGUCCUAAGGUAGCGAAAUUCCUUGUCGGGUAAGUUCCGACCUGCACGAAUGGCGUAAUGAUGGCCAGGCUGUCUCCACCCGAGACUCAGUGAAAUUGAACUCGCUGUGAAGAUGCAGUGUACCCGCGGCAAGACGGAAAGACCCCGUGAACCUUUACUAUAGCUUGACACUGAACAUUGAGCCUUGAUGUGUAGGAUAGGUGGGAGGCUUUGAAGUGUGGACGCCAGUCUGCAUGGAGCCGACCUUGAAAUACCACCCUUUAAUGUUUGAUGUUCUAACGUGGACCCGUGAUCCGGGUUGCGGACAGUGUCUGGUGGGUAGUUUGACUGGGGCGGUCUCCUCCUAAAGAGUAACGGAGGAGCACGAAGGUUGGCUAAUCCUGGUCGGACAUCAGGAGGUUAGUGCAAUGGCAUAAGCCAGCUUGACUGCGAGCGUGACGGCGCGAGCAGGUGCGAAAGCAGGUCAUAGUGAUCCGGUGGUUCUGAAUGGAAGGGCCAUCGCUCAACGGAUAAAAGGUACUCCGGGGAUAACAGGCUGAUACCGCCCAAGAGUUCAUAUCGACGGCGGUGUUUGGCACCUCGAUGUCGGCUCAUCACAUCCUGGGGCUGAAGUAGGUCCCAAGGGUAUGGCUGUUCGCCAUUUAAAGUGGUACGCGAGCUGGGUUUAGAACGUCGUGAGACAGUUCGGUCCCUAUCUGCCGUGGGCGCUGGAGAACUGAGGGGGGCUGCUCCUAGUACGAGAGGACCGGAGUGGACGCAUCACUGGUGUUCGGGUUGUCAUGCCAAUGGCACUGCCCGGUAGCUAAAUGCGGAAGAGAUAAGUGCUGAAAGCAUCUAAGCACGAAACUUGCCCCGAG
rnacentral:rRNA from 1 species